CGCUAUCACUCCUACGGGGAGGCAGCAGUAGGGAAUCUUCCACAAUGGGCGCAAGCCUGAUGGAGCAACACCGCGUGAGUGAAGAAGGGUUUCGGCUCGUAAAGCUCUGUUGUUAAAGAAGAACACGUAUGAGAGUAACUGUUCAUACGUUGACGGUAUUUAACCAGAAAGUCACGGCUAACUACGUGCCAGCAGCCGCGGUAAUACGUAGGUGGCAAGCGUUAUCCGGAUUUAUUGGGCGUAAAGAGAGUGCAGGCGGUUUUCUAAGUCUGAUGUGAAAGCCUUCGGCUUAACCGGAGAAGUGCAUCGGAAACUGGAUAACUUGAGUGCAGAAGAGGGUAGUGGAACUCCAUGUGUAGCGGUGGAAUGCGUAGAUAUAUGGAAGAACACCAGUGGCGAAGGCGGCUACCUGGUCUGCAACUGACGCUGAGACUCGAAAGCAUAGGUAGCGAACAGGAUUAGAUACCCUGGUAG
rnacentral:rRNA from 1 species